rnacentral:rRNA from 1 species
CGAGCGGAGUAUUUCCUUCGGGGAAUGCUUAGCGGCGGACGGGUGAGUAACACGUAGGUAACCUGCCUAUAAGACUGGGAUAACUAUCGGAAACGAUAGCUAAGACCGGAUAACUGGUUUUCUCGCAUGAGAGAAUUAUGAAACACGGAGCAAUCUGUGACUUAUAGAUGGGCCUGCGGCGCAUUAGCUAGUUGGUAGGGUAAUGGCCUACCAAGGCGACGAUGCGUAGCCGACCUGAGAGGGUGAACGGCCACACUGGGACUGAGACACGGCCCAGACUCCUACGGGAGGCAGCAGUAGGGAAUCUUCCGCAAUGGACGCAAGUCUGACGGAGCAACGCCGCGUGAGUGAUGAAGGUUUUCGGAUCGUAAAGCUCUGUUGCCCUAGACGAACAGCAAGGCGAGUAACUGCGCUUUGUGUGACGGUAUAGGAGAAGAAAGCCCCGGCUAACUACGUGCCAGCAGCCGCGGUAAUACGUAGGGGGCAAGCGUUGUCCGGAAUUAUUGGGCGUAAAGCGCGCGCAGGCGGUUCGUUAAGUUGGGUGUUUAAGCCCGGGGCUCAACCCCGGUUCGCAUCCAAAACUGGCGAACUUGAGUGUAGGAGAGGAAAGUGGAAUUCCACGUGUAGCGGUGAAAUGCGUAGAGAUGUGGAGGAACACCAGUGGCGAAGGCGACUUUCUGGCCUAUAACUGACGCUGAGGCGCGAAAGCGUGGGGAGCAAACAGGAUUAGAUACCCUGGUAGUCCACGCCGUAAACGAUGCAUACUAGGUGUCGGGGAUUCGAUUUCUCGGUGCCGAAGUUAACACAGUAAGUAUGCCGCCUGGGGAGUACGCUCGC